GAAUAAAUGAUAAUGCACUCUUACAGCCGUUUGGCCUGCAGUGAGGAAGCCAGCCUUGUUAAAUCUUCUUGCUAGAAUAAAACAAAAUAAAAAGAGUGGUUGGAUCAGAGCAAUUUGAAGAAUAGGAACAGUCCAGCUAUGACCUCGCCAUAUUGAGCCUAGAACUUGGCAAGAUAAAGAGAAGCUGAGAGCUACCUGAACAGUCUUCGGCAUCGCUGGAUCCAGGCUUGCUCCACCACAAAAUCUGUUACGAACAGGAAACUGAAGAUCUUUGCUUUAGGAAGAUUCUCCCACUGUACAACAUCAACUGACAUUCCAGGAUUACUUUAGUGGUGUAUG
rnacentral:lncRNA from 1 species